GCCUCGGUGGUGAGUGGUAGUAGCGCGCGUCCUUGGUAUGGAUAAAGCGCGGGUUUGAUUCCCUCUUGGGGCA